rnacentral:rRNA from 1 species
CCUACGGGGGGCAGCAGUAGGGAAUCUUCCACAAUGGGCGAAAGCCUGAUGGAGCAACGCCGCGUGGGUGAAGAAGGUCUUCGGAUCGUAAAACCCUGUUGUUAGAGAAGAAAGUGCGUGAGAGUAACUGUUCACGUUUCGACGGUAUCUAACCAGAAAGCCACGGCUAACUACGUGCCAGCAGCCGCGGUAAUACGUAGGUGGCAAGCGUUAUCCGGAUUUAUUGGGCGUAAAGGGAACGCAGGCGGUCUUUUAAGUCUGAUGUGAAAGCCUUCGGCUUAACCGGAGUAGUGCAUUGGAAACUGGGAGACGUGAGUGCAGAAGAGGAGAGUGGAACUCCAUGUGUAGCGGUGAAAUGCGUAGAUAUAUGGAAGAACACCAGUGGCGAAAGCGGCUCUCUGGUCUGUAACUGACGCUGAGGUUCGAAAGCGUGGGUAGCAAACAGGAUUAGAUACCCUGGUAUC